GAAUGUUUUGGAAAUUUCAGAGAUAGUCUUUAAAAUUGCCCAAUCACAAAAGAAGGUCGGCCAAAAUCAGAAUUUGAGCCCUAGUUUUCCAUUAUGGGAAAAUUAAAGGUAAAAAAGCAAAAAAAACCCUGUUUUGGGAAAUCUCAAAAUUCAUUUUCAUUCAUCCAUCCAAAAAAAAAUAAUAACAGAACCAAAAAUUUUCCAUUUUUGCCGACUCUUAAAGGAUUCGAUUCCAUGUCCCGCUUCCUCAUCCGCAUAUAGUGGACCUUCUCAAUGUUUCGCAGAUUUCUCUGUUCCUCUCUCUCUUGCACGCAUCUCCAACCUCCAUUCUUUCCCCCAAAACCAUUAAUCUCCAAAAUUCCAAACCAAACCCAUAUCAAAUCCAACAUCAUUCGACCAUUUCCGACAACCCCACGACUCUUCUCUCAAAUGGGUGAUGCCCGAAGACCCAGUUCGAUCCCCAUACCGACGUUGGAAAAAGCCGACCGGUCGGAGCUUCUACGAGCACUCGAAGCCUCACUCGGGUCGGCUUUCAGUUCGGACCCACUUUGGCCCGAACCCAACCCGCUAAUCAUUGUGAUAAGCGGACCAAGUGGUGUGGGCAAGGACGCAGUGAUCAAGAAACUGAGAGAAACCCGUGAAAGCUUGCAUUUUGUUGUCACCGCAACGAGCAGAGCAAGGAGGCCCAACGAAGUUCAUGGCAAAGAUUACUUCUUUGUGAGCAAGGAGGAGUUUCUUGGGAUGGUUGAGAGGGAUGAGCUUUUGGAAUAUGCUCUUGUCUAUGGAGAUUACAAGGGUAUACCGAAGCAGCAGAUAAGGGAGUACAUGGCAAAAGGGUAUGAUAUUGUGCUUAGAGUUGAUAUUCAAGGUGCUGAAACAUUGAGGAGGAUACUUGGGAACUCUGCGGUUUUUAUCUUUUUGAUGGCAGAGAGUGAAGCUAAGCUUGUUGAGAGGUUGAUUGACAGGAAGACAGAGACUAAAGAGGCUCUUCUUGUGAGGAUUGCAACGGCUAGAGAGGAAGUGAAGCAUGUUAGAAACUUUGAUUAUGUUGUUGUAAAUGCUGAGGGGAAGUUGGAAAAUGCUGCUAGGUUGGUGGAGUCUAUUAUUGAUGCAGAGAAAGCUAAGGUCCGGCAGAGGAGUGCCGUGAUAUAGUUAUUUGGAAGGUUUAUCUCUUGAAGAAUGCAAAGGAAGCAGUGUAAGGCCUGUGAAAAUAGCUGCAACAAUAGGGAAUGCCAAGUGACAGUAGCUGUAACAAUGGGGAAUGCCAACCUCGAGUUUUUUUCUGUAUACCGGCUUUUAUUUCAAGUCUUCUGUCGUGUAUGACACACAUGGUAACAUACUUUUUAUUUUUGGAUAUUUGGGAGACCACGAGAAAAAAAAUUCUUUGUUUGUAUUAAAACUUUUUCCACUAGUUCCACAAUAACCAUAUCAAGUUGGAACAUGGAAAUAAUGAACUAAUUGCACAGUGAUUUCUAGGUUGUUACUACAAGCUAGGAUUCCAAUUUAGACAUGGGUUUUCAAAGAUUUAUUUGAAUACUGUUAGAUUCUGAAUUAAGAUAGUAACAUUGAUUGUAGUUCUGUAUGAUGUAGAGGUCCUUUUCAUGAAAUGAAAAAUGUUUGAAACAA